UGGGGAAUAUUGGACAAUGGGCGCAAGCCUGAUCCAGCCAUGCCGCGUGUGUGAAGAAGGCCUUUUGGUUGUAAAGCACUUUAAGCGAGGAGGAGGCUACUUGGAUUAAUACUCUAAGAUAGUGGACGUUACUCGCAGAAUAAGCACCGGCUAACUCUGUGCCAGCAGCCGCGGUAAUACAGAGGGUGCGAGCGUUAAUCGGAUUUACUGGGCGUAAAGCGUGCGUAGGCGGCUUCUUAAGUCGGAUGUGAAAUCCCUGAGCUUAACUUAGGAAUUGCAUUCGAUACUGGGAAGCUAGAGUAUGGGAGAGGAUGGUAGAAUUCCAGGUGUAGCGGUGAAAUGCGUAGAGAUCUGGAGGAAUACCGAUGGCGAAGGCGGCCAUCUGGCCUAAUACUGACGCUGAGGUACGAAAGCAUGGGGAGCAAACAGG
rnacentral:rRNA from 1 species